rnacentral:rRNA from 1 species
UACAGAGGUCCCAAGCGUUUGUUCGGAUUCACUGGGCGUAAAGGGUGCGCAGGUGGGUUGGCAAGUUCGAUGUGAAAGCCCCGGGCUUAACCCGGGAAUGGCAUUGGAUACUGUUGAUCUGGAGGGUCGGAGGGGGGACUGGAAUUCUUGGUGUAGCAGUGAAAUGCGUAGAUAUCAAGAGGAACACCAGUGGCGAAGGCGAGUCCCUGGACGAUACCUGACACUGAGGCACGAAAGCCAAGGGAGCAAACAGG